GUGCUUGCUUUGGCAGCACAUAUACUAAAAUUGAAACGGUACAGAGAAGAUUAGCAUGGCCCCUGUGCAAGGAUGACACACGAACAUGAUCCCUGAAUACAGUUGAG